GGGGAUAACACUUAGAAAUAGGUGCUAAUACCGCAUAAGCGCACGAAGCCGCAUGGAUUUGUGUGAAAAACUCCGGUGGUGUAAGAUGGACCCGCGUCUGAUUAGCUUGUUGGCGGGGUAACGGCCCACCAAGGCGACGAUCAGUAGCCGGCCUGAGAGGGUGGACGGCCACAUUGGGACUGAGACACGGCCCAAACUCCUACGGGAGGCAGCAGUGGGGGAUAUUGGACAAUGGGGGGAACCCUGAUCCAGCGACGCCGCGUGAGUGAAGAAGUAUUUCGGUAUGUAAAGCUCUGUCAGCAGGGAAGAAAGAAAUGACGGUACCUGACCAAGAAGCCCCGGCUAACUACGUGCCAGCAGCCGCGGUAAUACGUAGGGGGCAAGCGUUAUCCGGAAUUACUGGGUGUAAAGGGAGCGUAGACGGUUAAGUAAGUCUGGAGUGAAAGGCCGGGGCCCAACCCCGGGACUGCUCUGGAAACUAUUGAACUUGAGUGCAGGAGAGGUAAGCGGAAUUCCUAGUGUAGCGGUGAAAUGCGUAGAUAUUAGGAGGAACACCAGUGGCGAAGGCGGCUUACUGGACUGUAACUGACGUUGAGGCUCGAAAGCGUGGGGAGCAAACAGGAUUAGAUACCCUGGUAGUCCACGCCGUAAACG
rnacentral:rRNA from 1 species